GGACGAACGCUGGCGGCGUGCUUAACACAUGCAAGUCGAACGGUGAACCAGAGCUUGCUCUGGGGAUCAGUGGCGAACGGGUGAGUAACACGUGGGCAACCUGCCCCAGACUCUGGGAUAACCCCGGGAAACCGGAGCUAAUAUCGGAUAUGACCACUUCGGACAUCCGAUGGUGGUGGAAAGUUUUUCGGUCUGGGAUGGGCCCGCGGCCUAUCAGCUAGUUGGUGGGGUAAUGGCCUACCAAGGCGACGACGGGUAGCCGGCCUGAGAGGGCGACCGGCCACACUGGAACUGAGACACGGUCCAGACUCCUACGGGAGGCAGCAGUGGGGAAUAUUGCACAAUGGGCGAAAGCCUGAUGCAGCGACGCCGCGUGAGGGACGACGGCCUUCGGGUUGUAAACCUCUUUCAGCAGGGACGAAGCGAAAGUGACUGUACCUGCAAAAGAAGCACCGGCCAACUACGUG
rnacentral:rRNA from 1 species